AACGAACGCUGGCGGCAGGCUUAACACAUGCAAGUCGAACGGAUCCUUCGGGAUUAGUGGCAGACGGGUGAGUAACGCGUGGGAACGUACCCUUUGCUACGGAAUAACUCAGGGAAACUUGAGCUAAUACCGUAUGUGCCCUACGGGGGAAAGAUUUAUCGGCAAAGGAUCGGCCCGCGUUGGAUUAGCUAGUUGGUGGGGUAAUGGCCUACCAAGGCGACGAUCCAUAGCUGGUCUGAGAGGAUGAUCAGCCACACUGGGACUGAGACACGGCCCAGACUCCUUAGGGAGGGAGGCGUGGGGGAAAAUGGGAAAUGGGGGGAAGGCCGGUCCAGCCAUGGCGGGGGGAGGAAGAAGGUUUUAGGAUUGUAAAGCUCUUUCACCGGUGAAGAUAAUGACGGUAGCCGGAGAAGAAGCCCCGGCUAACUUCGUG
rnacentral:rRNA from 1 species